CCCUUAGAUGUUCUGGGCCGCACGCGCGCUACACUGAUGCACUCAACGAGUCUCACCUUGACCGAAAGGUCCGGGAAAUCUUCGAACUUGCAUCGUGAUGGGGAUAGAUUAUUGCAACUAUUAAUCUUCAACGAGGAAUACCUAGUAGGCGUGUGUCAUCAGCGCGCGUCGAUUACGUCCCUGCCCUUUGUACACACCGCCCGUCGCUCCUACCGAUUGAAUGGUCCGGUGAAGCGUUCGGAUGUGUGAGGCGAGACGGUCCGCCGUCCCUCCUCGUGCAGAAGUUCGUUAAACCUUAUCAUUUAGAGGAAGGAGAAGUCGUANCA
rnacentral:rRNA from 1 species